ACAGCCCAAUUGGACGACAUAAGAAAACUAUUUUGUGGUCCUAACAUUGAUAGCACUUUCAAUCAGAUCGAGCGUUGUAGUGACAUUAUGAAUAUUGCCGGGAUGAUCUGCAUGCGGAAGUCCUUGAACAACGUUCAUGAUGCGUAACAUUUUAUCUUUAACAUUUUUUUGUACCUUAUAGUUCAAUGAGUUCACAUUGUUUAUAUAGUUUCUUGACUUGUAAAAAGCCAAUGGUUAAACUUCGAAUAACUUGAAAAAAAAUUUAGAAGAAUUUUACUUGAAUGCAGGGGUGUGACUUGAGUCCCGAGAAUGGAGAGGGGAAACGUUGCAGAAUUUGAUUUGCCCAACAAAAACGUAGUGUAAUUUUUUAUGUUAAUACCAGCAAAAUCGCUUUUUACUUAGUUAUGAGUUGAUCCAAACGUCAUCGUUAAUAUUUGCCGUUUUAAUUUCCGCAAAAUUACAUGCUUUGCUCGACAAAACUGCUAACUUUUUGAAAGGGAGAGGCUGAGCCACCACAUAUCAAUCCCCUCUCCAGGAUUUACACCCCUGUUUCAACGUUACUGAUACAGCAAUUAACGAUUUGUGCACGCUAAAUUUACAUGUAUAUUAUCAUGGGAAUCAUCUCUUACAAACUAUAAAAAACUUUAAAAUUCAA